GCAGCCAGGGGCCCAGAAGAGCGCGAGCGGGCAGAGCGGCGGGGGAGGGGGCGGGCCCCCGGGGCUCCAAUCCUCUGCCUCAUUCCCAGCCCUAGGCUACUCACCUGGGCCUACUUCGCCCCCAGAGGUGAAGCUGGAGGAGCGGGGUCUGCCUUGGUCGCAGGGGCCCGGGAGGCUGGCGGGGUGUUUUUCCAGCAACAGACACCUGGGAGCCUCGAUGCCUGGUCAGCCCGGGACCCCGUCGGGCAGGCAGCCGGUUGCAGGGGGACUGCCUGUACCGUUGCAAGCUGCCCCCUGACAAGGGGUGUGGGGGUGCCCGUUUUAUUCGGGAGGCUGCUGGGGUGAUCCCGGCUGUCCCGAAUCUCCACCGGUUUCCAGGGCCUCGGGCUGGCUGACAGGCAGAGCGGAGGGAUCUGGGAGCCUUGCAAGACCUGACUGCGGCGUGCUGACCGUGGUACCCUCAAUGAGCGGCACCUGGGAGCCUGGUUUGCUGCAGAAACCCGGGCCUUCCAAACACAGAACCGAUUCUCCGUGGACUUCUGCAAAUACGUGGCCAAGAAGAAUACUCAGGGAGAGCUGCUGACUCUGGAGGCAUCAGGCAGGGGCACAAAAUGGAAGGUUCCACUCUGUUGACGAAGGUGUAAUUUCCGAACUGCCAUCAGUCACAAAGAGGAAAGAUGUUCUUACAUGAUGAUGAACAAAGUCAUAAAAGCUUAUUCAGGCCCAGAUUUUCCUUCCUUCCCGACACGUGAUUUUGUUCCAGUGUCCCCUCCCAUUUCUUCCUAUAUCUGCACACCUCUGAGAGGAACAGCUGAGGUGUCAGGAUUGGCAAAGGCAGGUGGGCUUUGACUUGCUUCUCGAUUUGCAUUUCUGGUUUUGUAGGGGUUUGGGAGAUGGUGGUGUCUGCACCCCCGAGGAGCUGGGUGACAGCCUGGGUGUCUCGGGCCCGGCCGCCUUCGGGACCUCGCUUGGCUUCUUCACAUCAGGACGAACGCCAGCCAAGCCGGAAUCAAAACCUUUAUACCUUUGUGAAGUCUGUAUAAAGCGUGACAAAGUCUUCUGAGUCCACAUUCAACCUUGGCUCCGAUCAGCCCUGGGAUACGGCCUUUAGCCGGUCAUUCGUAGGAAGGCCUCGGGGCGACACUGGUCCUCUGCUUCCUCUAGGGGGGACAGUGGGUGUCGACAGGCACUCCUCUUUCUCAUUCCUCCCCACAGCUGGAAGAUCGGGAAGCGGAGGUAGACGGGCUUUAUAAAGGAUCUGCUGCUGCGCUGGGGACCGGACUUUGGCGUGGUGGGGCGGGGUGGGCUAGGGUCCAUCUGCAGAGGACACUGCACGGGUCUGCCUGAGGCCGGCAGAGCCUGAGGACAGAGCCUGGACCGAGCCAGGAAUUGCAAACCUCACUGCCAGCUCCGAGCAUAUGGACACGGCUGCCCUGUCGGCCGGGGGCCCAGAGAUUGGGCCCGAGGGCCCUCUGCAAACCGUGUCAGGGACGGCACGUCCCAAGAGGCAGACGGGGGCCGGAUGCUGAGCGCGGGAGCUGAGCUCGGAGGACAUCCACUUCUGUCCUAAUUCUAAUGUCUGUUAUGUUGUCCAGGGAGUCCCUGAGGCUAACCCUUGCACUCCUCAGAAAACGGGGAACUCGCUACAGAGAAGUCGCUCUCUCUCAAACAGAGCCAAUUGAAAGAGUCCAUCAUGGGGCCAGUGACCAGUAGGAGCUUAUUAAUCUGAACAGGGACUCAAAGCAAUAAGGUUCUUUAGGGAAAGAUGCGGAGGCAGUGUUCCAGGCUCACCAUGGACACGGGUGUUGCAGCCCCCACGACCCGAAAGUUUACUCCCCGAAACAGUCUACGAAAGGGCCUUCGUACGCAGGGAGUGAGGACAGGUGCCGAGCGUGGGGUCUCCCGCAAAUGUGAGCGGCCUCCAGCCCGAGUCCUGCUCACCCGUGACAGUGGGCAGGUGUCCUGGCAGGGAUUCUUCCGGCGCUAACACACGGCAAGGGCUGAGAGGACGGAGCUCCCUCGCGUGCCGGCGCCUCUCGUGCCAGACCCCGCGGGGAGCUGGAGGGUUCCGUGUCGCCGGACCCUGGUCCGUGGGUUCUGUGACGGGCCACCGAGGGUCACCCCGGAAGCGCCCCCUCCCACAGCGGAGGCAGAGAAGAUCCUCGCCACUCACGAAGCCAGGCGCUCAGGACCCAAGAACAUGAAAGCACACGCCUCGCCCGGUUUCCACGCGGGGCACCCAGAGCACGGUGUGAACGCGCCCGUCGAGGCCGGCUUGAACCGCAGGCUUGCAGGCCCAAGGGCUGUGUUCUCCCUGCGGUGAGUCCUCUUCGUGACAAAGACAAACGGCCACCAUCUCUGGGAGGACGUGGGUGAAUCUGCCAAGAGAAGCUACCAAAUUCACCAGAGUCGCUAAGCGCAAGGAACUGGUUCUGCAAGUAUUUCCUCCCGCUGCUCUGAGCUUAGAAAGUGAGGAAAGGGACCCACGCUCUUGCUCCCAUGCGGCCCCGAGGCUGACUCGGGAGGGAUUCUCGCACUGGCUGCGUCGGGAGUCAGGUUAAUCGAAAGUGAUCAACAUCCCAAUGUGGCACAUUUAGGGGGCCCUGCCCCCCAAUAGGCAUUGAUGCCGGUGAGAGUCUGGAAUUAUCUGAAUUCCUUGGACCCAUGAUGGCCCCUUCUGGGUCCCAGCCUCUCGGGACACUGGCCCCAUCGCGGGUCGCUGGCUACACAGAUCGGCGAGGCCCUCCCUGGUGCCGCCACCCUUGGCAGCCAGGACACCCCAGCCUGUGGAGCUCAUGCCAGUUCCCACCAACGGCACCACCUCCAAGGUGGGGGAGACACCCGGAAAAAUCUGCCUGACACGGCAGCUUUAAAUUGAUGACCGUCAUUCCCCAUGUGGAUGGACGUAUUUUUGGAGGGUAGCCUCCAGGACCAUUUCCUCCAGCUCUGCCUGCACGGGGAAUACGCAGAUUUGUGGGGUUCGGGCUUGAAAUAGGCAGAGGCCUCGUGUGGCCAACAGCCGGUUCCCAGGACCAGGCUCCCACUGUAGCAGGUCCCUGGCCACCCCGAGUGUCCAUGCAAGGGUUGGCCAACCACAGGCAACUGGGACAUGCAUGGCCCCAGGGUGGAGGGAGCACAGCCCCCCAAACCUUUCCGAGGCAUUAGCUUUAAACUGGGAAAAGUCAGCCACUCUUUCAAGUGGCUGUUUGAUGGGGUCCUGGGCUUAGCGCUCAUCAGGCCUCCGGGUGUCUCUUUGUGAAGGGAACCCCAGCAGCCAGACAGGCCCCUUCCUGGCCCCCACAGCCCAGGCUCCUCCCCUUUACCCUCAGCGGGAGACGGGCGCCUGUGGAGAGUAAGGCCUGGGAGACGCAGAUGUCUCUUACCCCAAACGCCAGGACCCAAGACCCAGCUUCUCCCGGCCCUUGCCCCGUUCCAGGGCAGGAGAUGCAGAUAAAACAUGAGACAAAAUUCAACACCAAUUCAUGAUAAAAACCCAGCAAUCUGGGAAUAAGGGGAAACUCCCUCAACUUAAUAAACAGCAGUUAACAUUAUACUUAAUGGUGAGAAACUCAACAUUUUCUCACUAGGAUCAGGAACAAGGCAAAGAUGUCCCCUCUUGCCAUUGCUCUUCAGCAAAAUGAGACAGGACAUUUUGGAAGAGGGAAAGUGGGCAGGUGAUAACUGACUCCAUGGAGAGAAAGCCCCAGCUACUACACCUAGACAAGAAAAUCCCAAAUUCUCAGCAGGUUAAUUGGUGGAUAUCAACAAAUGGAUUCUAAAGUUUAUAUGGAGAGCCGGAGAUCCAGAAUAGCCAGCUAAAUUUUUUUAAAGAUUUUAUUCAUUUUUUGAGAGCGAGCGAGCAUAUGCCAAUGAGUGGGGGGGCAGGGAGAGAGAA